AUGCAAAAAUACUUUAUGCGUAGAGAAAGGUAGUGGCAUGAAGAGAAGAGUCCAACUCAAUUUGGACUCUAAAUUUUUAUUCAAAUUCAAACUCAUUUGAAUUUAAUUUUAAAACAAUCAAAUUUUAAUUUUGAAAGAAUCAGACAAAAAUAUGAAAAAGACUUCUGGGUAUAAGUAAAAUCACAUAAAAAUAUUUCUCACAUGAAGAAUAAGAGGGCGCAG
rnacentral:lncRNA from 1 species